UGCCUGACCUCUAUAGCUUGAGGUGAACUUUGCUUUCUGAAUCCUCAGGCAAGCUUUAAUAAAUCAUAAAGAAUAUAUCACAACAUUUCUGUGCCUGUUUGUAGUUUUCAGAGCACUUUCGCAGGUGACCACAUCAUGAUUUGAGGAGUUAGUUGAAGAGGAGAGUCUUCCUAGUGUGAGCUGCAUGUCUAAGCCUCAGCCUCAGUCACCAAAGAGGCUGGAUACUUGCCAAGGGCAAUAAGGCAGAGCUGGAGUGACACAGCACCUGGGAGGCGGAGCUCAGUGCCUCAUCCCAGCCAGAUCGCCUUGGCUGAGUCAUACAACCUCCACCCAGUUCCUUCAGCUGGAAAAGGGAUGAAGUCUGCUUAACAGAGCUCAGUGAGGUCUGAGGAUAAUGCACUGUGCACACAGGUUUCUGAUGACACCUGGCUUCCUGGGCUGCCUCUUCUCAGCUCUGAUUUUACCUGGCUACUUAAAUCAUAAUAGCCUGAUUUUAUUCAGUUAUAUUUUCAGAGCGUGAGAGAAGAUACAUUUAGAAUGCAGACGCUCAACUCGAUUCUUUCUUCUGAGCUUCAAGCUGCCCAUAAAAUCCCUGCUUGAUCUUUGGAUUGUAUAUAGCAGGAGCUUAACACCAGAUGAUUAUAAUCCAACCAGGAAAAUCACUCAAGGAGCAUCUGUCUGGCCCAGGAAACCCCACGAUGCUGUAACUCUUAAACCUUCAAGUGCACCAGGAAAACAGAUCCUCUGCAAAAGCUACCCAGAGAGCAUUGCUGUUGGUGGACUGUCUUUGGUCUAAUUUAGAUCCAAGUACCCUGGGCAGGGCUCUGUAGGUCAGGACUGGGUCUACCUGGAUCCUGGUCAGGAACAUGUUUAGUCCUCAAGUCCCACCUAUCAGCUCCCCAGAGAGGAGGUAGAUAGCCUAUGCUGAGCAAGACGCCUGUGAUGGUUAAUUAUUUGUCCAUUUGCUGCAAGCUAGAGUCAUCUGGGAAGAAGUAACUUAACUGAAAAAAAAAUGCCUCAGUCAGAUUGGCAUACACGGCGUCUAUGGUGCAUUUUCUUGAUUGUUUCAUAUAGGAGGGCUCAACCCAUUGUAAAUCUCACCACCCUGGCCAGGUGUACCUGGACUGUAUAGAAAAGCAAGUCAGAAAGCAUCUCUUCUCCACAGUCUCUGCCUCGGUUCCCACCUCCAGGUUCUUGCCCUAACUUGCCUCCAUGACUCCAUGACGGACUGACUGUACACUGUAAUAUAAAUAAACCCUUUUCUCCCCCAAA